GAUGAAGAACGCAGCGAAAUGCGAUACGUAAUGUGAAUUGCAGAAUUCAGUGAAUCAUCGAGUCUUUGAACGCACAUUGCGCCCCCUGGUAUUCCCGGGGGCAUGCCUGUCCGAGCGUCAUUGCUGCCCUCAAGCACGGCUUGUGUGUUGGGCCUCCGUCCUCCUCCCGGGGGACGGGCCCGAAAGGCAGCGGCGGCACCGCGUCCGGUCCUCGAGCGUAUGGGGCUUCGUCACCCGCUCUUGUAGGCCCGGCCGGCGCUUGCCGACACAUCAAUCUUUUUUCCAGGUUGACCUCGGAUCAGGUAGGGAUACCCGCUGAACUUAAGAAUAUCAAUAAGCGGAGGA
rnacentral:misc_RNA from 1 species